UGGAGCAUGUGGUUUAAUUCGAAGCAACGCGAAGACCUACCUGGCCUUGACAUGCUGAGAACUUUCCAGAGAUGGAUUGGUGCCUUCGGGAACUCAGACACAGGUGCUGCAUGGCUGUCGUCAGCUCGUGUCGUGAGAUGUUGGGUUAAGUCCCGUAACGAGCGCAACCCUUGUCCUUAGUUACCAGCACGUUAUGGUGGGCACUCUAAGGAGACUGCCGGUGACAAACCGGAGGAAGGUGGGAUGACGUCAAGUCAUCAUGGCCCUUACGGCCAAGGCUACACACGUGCUACAAUGGGGGGUACAAAGGGUUGCCAAGCCGCGAGGUGGAGCUAAUCCCAUAAAACCUCUCGUAGUCCGGAUCGGAGUCUGCAACUCGACUCCGUGAAGUCGGAAUCGCUAGUAAUCGUGGAUCAGAACGCCACGGUGAAUACGUUCCCGGGCCUU
rnacentral:rRNA from 1 species